CAAAGAUGCAAUGCAAAUUUUUUCUUUUUUUUUUUCUUUCUUAAUUUGUCUUGAUAUCUCAACAGGAAAACUAAGUUUACUGAUGCAAGACUAGGCCUUUUGAGGAAACCUCUGCAAAUACUGCACAGUUCAGUUAAGAGGAGAAACCCCAGAACUGAUGAGAAUUUGCAGUAAUUUCAUAACUGCAUUUAAUUAAGGUGAAGCUCCUGCUCAUCUGCCCUGAACUCGGUCUUUUCAUUUUAAUAUGGGGGAAGUUUGUGCCCACCUGUAGCAACAUCUAGGUCACUUAAGGGUGUUGUAGAAUCACACACGGGUGUUUGGUUUUUCCACUCCUUUCUUCUUUAUCCCCAAUAGUGGAAAUUAUUCAUUAUAUUUUUUUUUAUUUUCUUUUGUCUGUGCACAUUUCACUAUUAACUGUGUUGCUAGUUAAGGUUUGCCAUGGCUCAGAUUUGUGAUGCUUUCUCUUAUAGCCAGGAAUUUAAAUUUUGUUUAGACCGGUCUUGGUAUUAAAAUUAACAAAUGCAGGACUGUGAAGUAUGAGAGUUCUGACUGGCUUGCAUGUGUAAACUAUGUAUCCUCCAUCCCAUCCAACCAGCCCCAGGGAAACUUAUAGAUUGGUAAUUGCCUUCAGCUACCAGCAUUAUCUCCAUAUAAAAGAAAAGGCACACUAGUGUGACCUGGUAACAGUCCCAGAACUGCCUUCUAUUCACAAUAUAUACAAAUUUUCUGUUUUGAGGUUUAGUGUUGUAUCCAACUAAAUCAGGCUUUUUGUAGGUCUUAAAGCAACUGAGACUGUGGCGUGAUGAACCUUUUACUAGCAGCAUGGACUAGAAUAUGUAUUGUCUGUUUUAAAUAAAUAUCCUCCUUGCAGACUAAUCUAUAAUUCUGUCUCAACCUUUUUCAAGUAGAGAAAUAGGAUUCCC